rnacentral:rRNA from 1 species
UACGGAGGGUGCGAGCGUUGUCCGGAAUCACUGGGCGUAAAGGGCGCGUAGGCGGCGCGGGCAGUCAACGGUGAAAGCUCGGAGCUCAACUCCGAGUCGGCCGUCGAUACUCCCGCGCUCGAGCACUGUAGAGGCAGGUGGAAUUCCGGGUGUAGCGGUGGAAUGCGUAGAGAUCCGGAAGAACACCGGUGGCGAAGGCGGCCUGCUGGGCAGUAGCUGACGCUGAGGCGCGACAGCGUGGGGAGCAAACAGG